UGAAACUUAAAGGAAUUGGCGGGGGAGUACCACAACCGGUGGAGCCUGCGGUUUAAUUGGAUACAACGCCGGGAAUCUUACCGGAGGGGACAGCAGUAUGAAGGCCAGGCUAAAGACCUUGCCAGAUCAGCUGAGAGGAGGUGCAUGGCCGUCGCCAGUUCGUACCGUGAGGCAUCCUGUUUAGUCAGGCAACGAUCGAGACCCGCAGUCUUAUUUGCCAGCAUGCCCUUUGGGGUGUAUGGGUACAAUAAGACGACCGCCAGCGCUAAGCUGGAGGAAGGAGCGGGCUACGGUAGGUCAGCAUGCCCCGAAUCCUCCGGGAUACACGCGGGCUACAAUGGUCAGGACAAAAGGUACCGACCUCGAAAGAGUGAGGUAAUCCACAAACCUGAUCUCAGUCCGGAUCGAAGGCUGCAACUCGCCUUCGUGAAGAUGGAAUCGGUAGUAAUCGUGACUCAGAAUGUCACGGUGAAUAUGUCCCUGCUCCUUGCAC
rnacentral:rRNA from 1 species